rnacentral:rRNA from 1 species
UACGAGGGGUGCAAGCGUUGCUCGGAAUUAUUGGGCGUAAAGGGUAGGUAGGUGGUCUCGUUUUGUCUGGGGGUGAAAUCCUUGAGCUUAACUCAAGAAGUGCCCUAGAAACGGCGAGACUAGAGUCCUGGAGAGGGUCGUGGAAUUCCCGGUGUAGCGGUGAAAUGCGUAGAGAUCGGGAGGAACACCAGAGGCGAAGGCGGCGACCUGGACAGGUACUGACACUCAACUACGGAAAGCGUGGGGGAGCAAACAGG